AUUGAACGCUGGCGGCAGGCCUAACACAUGCAAGUCGAGCGGGGUUUUCGGACCUAGCGGUGGACGGGUGAGUAAUGCGUAGGAAGCUGCCCGAUAGAGGGGGAUACCAGUUGGAAACGACUGUUAAUACCGCAUAAUGUCUACGGACCAAAGUGUGGGACCUUCGGGCCACAUGCUAUCGGAUGCGCCUACGUGGGAUU
rnacentral:rRNA from 1 species